rnacentral:rRNA from 1 species
GACGAACGCUGGCGGCGUGCUUAACACAUGCAAGUCGAACGGAAAGGCCUCUUUCGGGGGGUACUCGAGUGGCGAACGGGUGAGUAACACGUGAGUAACCUGCCCUUGACUUUGGGAUAACUUCAGGAAACUGGGGCUAAUACCGGAUAGGAGCUCCUGCUGCAUGGUGGGGGUUGGAAAGUUUCGGCGGUUGGGGAUGGACUCGCGGCUUAUCAGCUUGUUGGUGGGGUAGUGGCUUACCAAGGCUUUGACGGGUAGCCGGCCUGAGAGGGUGACCGGCCAAGUGGGACUGAGAAACCGCCCAGACCCCUACGGGAGGGAGCAGGUGGGGAUAUUGGAACAUGGGUGGGAGCCCGAUGCAGCCACGGCGGGGGCGGGAUGACGGCCUUCGGGUUGUAAACCGCUUUCGCUCAUGACGAAGCUUUGUGUGACGGUAGUGGGUAAAGAAGCACCGGCUAACUACGUG